rnacentral:rRNA from 1 species
GCCUAUGACCACACCAUCCUAAAUGUACUUGAUCUUGGAAAAUAAGCAGGAUUGGGCCUGGUUAGUACUUACAUGGAAGAAGAGCCAAAAACAUUCUAUUUUUUGCUUCAAGAACAGGGUCCUUAUAUAUU